rnacentral:rRNA from 1 species
AACGAACGCUGGCGGCAUGCCUAACACAUGCAAGUCGAACGAGACCUUCGGGUCUAGUGGCGCACGGGUGCGUAACGCGUGGGAACCUGCCCUUAGGUUCGGAAUAACUCCCCGAAAGGGGUGCUAAUACCGGAUAAUGUCUUCGGACCAAAGAUUUAUCGCCUUUGGAUGGGCCCGCGUUGGAUUAGCUAGUUGGUAGGGUAAAAGCCUACCAAGGCGACGAUCCAUAGCUGGUCUGAGAGGAUGAUCAGCCACACUGGGACUGAGACACGGCCCAGAAUCCUACGGGAGGCAGCAGUGGGGAAUAGUGGACAAUGGGCGAAAGCCUGAUCCAGCAAGGCCGCGUGAGUGAUGAAGGCCUUAGGGUUGUAAAGCUCUUUUACCCGGGAUGAUAAUGACAGUACCGGGAGAAUAAGCGCCGGCUAACUCCGUG